rnacentral:rRNA from 1 species
GAUCAUGGCUCAGGAUGAACGCUAGCUACAGGCUUAACACAUGCAAGUCGAGGGGCAGCAUGGUCUUAGCUUGCUAAGGCCGAUGGCGACCGGCGCACGGGUGAGUAACACGUAUCCAACCUGCCGUCUACUCUUGGACAGCCUUCUGAAAGGAAGAUUAAUACAAGAUGGCAUCAUGAGUUCACAUGUAAUUAAGAUUAAAGAUUUAUCGGUGUACGAUGGGGA